GCAGGUAAAAGAUUGGGUGGAUGAGCAUAGAGAGACCCUAAAAGAAACGUAUAGCAGAGUGAGGGCUCGGCUGAAUAGAGCCGCAGAACUUCGUAGGAAACGCCAUAGUCAGGUAGGAAAGGAGUCUGCAUUGCAAGAAGGCCAAGAAGUUUAUUUGCUUGACCAAGGUGUUCGUGGUCGUCAUAAAAUUCAAAAUCAUUGGUCCAGCACUGUUUACAAAGUGGUCCAAUCCCCGAUAGGUAAGGGUGGUGUAUACACCAUAGUAGAGGCUGAUAAUCCCUCUCGGGUGAAGCAGGUGCAUAGGUCCCAUUUAAGGUUAGUACCUAAUACAGGAGGCUCGCGGCACGUGGUUGAACCAGAGAUGGGAGUGUCAGAAGAUAAUUGGGAUAAGGUUUUAGACUCCUCAGUGGCAGUGGAUGAGAUAGAUGAUUUGGACGUAGUCCUUAUAGGGGUUAACCCUUUUGCCUCAGGUGUAGUCGAGGUAGAGCCACCAUUGGAGCAGGAAAGGUUGGUGAGUGCAGAGACUCCUCUCCCUGCUAUUAAUCCCCCAAGGGAAACAACAGAGGGCAAUAGGCGACGAACUACUAGGGCCACUGCCGGAAAACAUUCAAACCCGCAUCAUUUGCCAAGGGCUGCAGUAGUCGUUCAACAUGUACAUCUAAAUAGAGAGGGGGUGGAUGUCUCAUUGCAACCUAGUCAGGCUCAGAAUAGUCCUUUCCGUCCAUGGUUGUAAGUAGUAUCAUCGGGACGAUGAUAGAAAAGCCAGGGGUAAAUGUAAUGGGGCGAUCCCCAAAGGGGAGGGGUUUCCCACUCGUAUGCGUGUAGUGGGGGAUCCCCAAGGGGGAGGGGUUUCCUCACUAUGUUUAGGUGAAUGGAGUUAGAAAUUAAGCUCGCCACCCCUUUAAAAGUGUGGAGGUUUUGCUUCCGUUAUCUCCCUGGCAUGGAAUAGUGGCAGUGUGUUGAGUGCGUGCAAACUUUUGAUGUGCGUUAAGCAUUGAGCGUUGAGCAGUAAGCCUGCAGUGUUUAGAAAAACCUGUAAUUCUGUUUCUUUGGCCUGCGGAAGUGCAAUCGCAUCAGCAAGUAACGCUACAUCCAUGUAUGAUUGGUGGAUUGCUCACCAUUUGCGUUAAGAGCCAGUUGACUGGGCUGCGGAGAGCCCGUUGCUGUUUUGCUGCUGUCUGGCGACCCGUUUGUGCUACGGAGGGGCGAUUUCACUUUCCUUCUCGGCACCUGAUUGUGUGUGACUCGGUUGCGUCAAGGCAGUGUGUGUGUGUAGGAUUGUGUGUGUGUGUGGGUGUGAGCGCGCCCUUAUUGUGCGAGGGUGCGCUAAAUUCUUUCAACGUUGGCGCGGUUGUGAGUGUGCGUGUAUGUGUGCAGUGUUGUGAUUUAACUAUUUGGUGGGUUUGUAUUUUGUUUGUGUAAAUUGCUAAAGGCUGUUAUUGUUCAACCUACAUUUCAAUACUAACAGUAAGGAUUACCUUAUAUGGGGAGGGUUGUGUUAUUUUGGCUUUGUUUGUUAUGCGGGUGGUUUGUUUUGAGUGUGGGUUAGUUUCUCUUUAUUAAUGAGUGUUUUGUUUUGAAGGUUUCGUUGCACUGGAGUGUGGCAUUUUCCUCUUUCCUUUUGAUCUUUCCCAAUGGUAUAUCCUGUGUAAUAUUGAGUGUGAGAGCAGUGGCCACUGACAACCAUUAUACAAACCAUUGUAUUGUUUUGUGACUUAUUGUAAUUGACUAUCUGUUUUAUAUGAUUACAUUUUAAAGAAAAAAAACUCUAUUUAAGUGUCUAAUAAAAGAUUGUUUGUACACAUCUCUGCUUUAUUUCCAUUUGUUUGGAGAAAACCUGAAGUUGUGGGUAGUAAAGUGAACCUCUAUUUGGUUAUAUUCAGUACAGUACGGGCCCCGGUCACACUAAUGCUGCACAAAUGUUCGCUGAAGUUCAGAUUUUCCCACGUCAUUCAUGCCACGUCAUUCGCGUGGAUCGCGCCGCAGAAUGUUUCUUUGCAUUGGCUUAACGUCUAAAUCACUCACGCUUAAUUCUAAAUCGCC